rnacentral:rRNA from 1 species
AUGAACGCUGGCGGCGUGCCUAAUACAUGCAAGUCGAGCGCACGGACGAGAAGCUUGCUUCUCUGAUGUUAGCGGCGGACGGGUGAGUAACCCGUGGAUAACCUACCUAUAAGACUGGGAUAACUUCGGGAAACCGGAGCUAAUACCGGAUAAUAUUUUGAACCGCAUGGUUCAAAAGUUAAAGACGGUCUUGCUGUCACUUAUAGAUGGAUCCGCGCUGCAUUAGCUAGUUGGUAAGGUAACGGCUUACCAAGGCAACGAUGCAUAGCCGACCUGAGAGGGUGAUCGGCCACACUGGAACUGAGACACGGUCCAGACUCCUACGGGAGGCAGCAGUAGGGAAUCUUCCGCAAUGGGCGAAAGCCUGACGGAGCAACGCCGCGUGAGUGAUGAAGGUCUUCGGAUCGUAAAACUCUGUUAUUAGGGAAGAACAUAUGUGUAAGUAACUGUGCACAUCUUGACGGUACCUAAUCAGAAAGCCACGGCUAACUACGUG